CCAAGUGCGCCCCACUUUGGGGGUUCUUGGGAGCGUGAAAUCCGUUCCAUCAAGUCAGCAUUGCACACCAUCCUGGGAUCCCAAACAGUCACCGAAGAGGUCCUCAGAACCAUCCUGACUGAAGUGGAGAGCAUCAUCAACUCCAAGCCCCUCGGUUACACCUCUUCAGAUGUGGCAGACUUGGACCCGAUCACUCCCAACAUGCUGCUGAUGGGGCGGCUGGACCCGUCCACUCCGCAAGUCGUCUACUCUGAUAAAGAGCUCCUCAGCCGACGCAGAUGGCGACAUUGUCAGGUCUUAGCAGACCAGUUUUGGAGCCAUUUCAUCAGGAACUAUUUGCCUUCGCUCCAGAGUCGCUCCAAGUGGCAGCAGGAUCAAGAGGACAUCGGUGUUGGUGACAUUGUUCUUGUUGUUGACCACCAGCUUCCCCGCGCCUUGUGGCUUGUUGGUAAAAUCACUGCUAUCUUUCCUGGAGCUGAUGGAAGGAUUCCUACUGCUCAAUUACAGGCCAGAGACAAAUCCUACACCAGACCUGUUGCAAAGCUCAUCAAACUCCCUGCACUUCCUCAAGACAUUCCAAAUUGACUUGUGUUCAACUUUGCUCCUCAAAGUUGGGGGCGGCUGUUAACAAGGUUAUUUUAUUAUAUAUUGGUAAUGUUUCUUUAAGUUAAUGGAUAUUCCGUCUUCUAGCACUUUCUAAGUUUCUAUUUCUUAUAUUAUCAUAAUCUACCUAGCAACCAAUAGUAUUUUUUCCUCGGUGUUCCCCUCCCUGCUCUCCACCAAUCAGGAGACAGAUAUCAGUAGUGCUGUUUUUUUGUUAGUCUGCAGGUGACUUCGGCGAGAGCACACGCUCUGUCCUCUCCCCAUCUUCUCGGCAUACUUUUCUUCCCCCUUUCGUGUUGUGCGUCCAUGAGAAUGUUUGGUUAACAUCAUUCAAAUGGACACCAAUGUUUAGCCGCAGCUGCAUGCAGGAGUCACAAAGAGGAGGCAGAUAAACAUCUAUCAGCUCUGUCUCCUCCGACAGUCAUCCAAACAAUAGCAAAACAAAACAGCCGUCACUGAUGGAAGAAAGCUCAUUCACUUAACCCUGUUCACCCUGGAGCUCCUUGCAACAACACCAGACUGAUUCUGUCAGAAGAACACAACUGGUAUCAGCCUGCAGAGUGCAACAUAUUGACUGAGGAGGCUGCCUGGUACAACUGUGAAUCAACUGGAUGUAGGACUGUUUCAUUUCUGUUGCAUCACAUUUGGUAGAGCUGCAAAUAAACAUUCAAAGAGUCGGAUCGAUAAUAUCAGUGUCACUGACUCGUUGUUGUAAGGCCCUGGUCUAUAUCUCCAAAAUGUCUCAGAAACACAAGACAGCUACAAAGAGAUCAACUGAGACACAAAAUUAUCGCAGAAAGAUGACUGACAAAUACAAGAAACACAAAAUGUCCACAGACAUUGUCCGUGCCCAAGGGUUCGUUGUUUUUAUGAUGAAUCCAUGAGGUUGUGUGCUUUGUAAUUUGCAGCUUUGAUUAGGUGAAUGUAAAACUGUCUGAACUGAUGGUGGUGGGGUCAAAAAGAUUUUUUUUAGAUGGAAACUUUAAUAUACACUACUGUUUCUCACUUAGAAAUGCAUUAUUUUUGAAAGAAAAGCAUUUUUUUAAUGAAGAUGACAUUAAAUGAAUCAGAAAUACAGUCUAGACAUUGUUAAUGUGGUAAAUAACUAUUCUGGCUGGAAACGGCUGAUUUUUAAUGGAAUAUCUCCAUAGAGGUACAGAGGAACAUUUCCAGCAACCAUCACUCCUGUGUUCUAAUGCUACAUUGUGUAAGAUAAUCGUGUUAAAAGGCAAACUGAUGAUUCAAAAACCCUUGUGCAAUUAUGUCAGCGUAUGAAUAAAAGUGUGAGUUUUCAUGGAAAAUAUGAAAUUGUCUGGGUGACCCAAAACUUUUGAAUGGUAGUGUACUUUUGUUCAGAAGGAUCAACAGAACCUUUAUUGAUGUUAUCAUUUUCCCAAUUACAUUAAGAUGCACCAUAACCUCUGACUGGAUUCUACACACAUCUUUGAGCUGCAUCAGAAUCAGCAUCCCAUCUGUGGUUAGGCAACAAAAAGAUUGUAGUUUGAAUUAAAUAAUAAAUAGCAUAUAUGUAGAUAGCCCUGCGACAGACUGGCGACCUGUCCAGGGUGUCCCCUGCCUUCGCCCAAGUCAGCUGGGAUAGACUCCAGCCCCCCCACCCCCCCACCCCCGCAACCCAAAUGAGGUGUAUAGAUAAUGGAUAGAUGGAUGGAUGGAUGGAUACGUGUAGAUUUAGGAGGGGCACAGAGAAUUAAACCCCCUCAAUAAUUACAACAUGUACAUUAGUUGUGAAAAAAUGCCAUGAUGGUACCAAUAAUGGAAAAGUCUGGUUCUUUUCCUUCAUUGCUGGCUCUUUCUUUACUCUUUAAUUAUGAGCUCAAACAUCCACAACACUACCGCAACGUAUUGUAUGUACUGUGUUUUCCUUUAGGUUAAUGAAUUCUUUUCAAACACAAACUGAUGCAGAAAAGGAACAAUCUGGCACAUAAACACUCAGCAGAAUCCAGGUAACUGUUUUGUGCUCAAAGCUUUUGGACCACCUCAAGGCAGUUCCUCUAAGAAGUGUGGCGAUCACAAAGGCACCAGACUACAGCUGAGACAGGUGGAGGGUGGCCACUUUCAGAGUGUUAGAGGAGUACAGCCUGCAAGACUGUCAAACAAACUCUCAGAGGAUUGUAAAUUUGGUAGAAUAAAUCCCUUGGCAGCACCUUUUGGAACUGAAACAUGUCCAAGUGUAAUUAGUACCUCGACGAGUUGGGUCUUUGGUGGUGUUAUAGAGAGACCCAGCUGGUGGAGCUGAUGGACAAUUUUAGAGGCUAAAGCUGCAGGUAACAAGGGAACGUUGGGAAAAAUGAUAAGGAUUCAACUGCUAGCUUGUGUUCUGAAGGAUCUGUAGAGCAUUCUGUGUGGAGUACACCAUGAUAAAAAAAAAGUACAUUUACUCAGGUACUGCAUUUAAGUACAGUUUCGAGGCACAGCCAGCACUUUGAGACUGUUUUGUUCAGUUUCAGAGGUCAGUGUUGAAGUGUUUAUUGCACUGAAUUUGUUUAUUUAUAGCUUCUAUACUUUCAUGUUAAGAUAUUUAACAAUAAGAUUUUAUGAGAUAAUAGAACAUAUGUUUGAUAAUAUUAAGGAUGAAAUCAAUGGUAUCAGGCCAUUUCUAGUCAAAUUUCCUUCAGCCCUCACCUACACCAAUCAGGCAUAACACUAUGACCACCUUCCUAAUAUUGUGUUGGUCCCUUUAUGCUGCUAAAACUCCUGUGACCCGGUGGGGCAUGAACACAGGACCUCUGGGGAUGUCCUGUGGCACUGGGAGGGUGGCAGUGAAUUAUGUGGGUCCUGCAAGAUAAUUUCUCUAUAAAAUUACAGAUGUUAAAUGGUGAAAAAUGUCAUUCAAAAGAAUUUAAAUUCAACUUUGUCUUUUUUUAAUGAUUUAUGACAUUGUAACUGUGUCAUACUGCACAGAAAAUAUUUCAGAGUUCUCUCUACUUGUAGCUAUUGUUGUGUUGUUUCCACAGAGUUGCAUUUUUCUAACAAUUCAUCGAUUAGUCGUUGCAGCGGUAACUGUGAUUAAACUAGAACUUAAUCUUCCAGUGUGCAACAGGUCUCCAAAACUCUAUGUCUAAAUAAAAAGGAGCUAGUGCUUUGUUUAUUCUUUGUUUCUGGAUAUGGCUGUUCCAAAAUCAGUCAUUAUGGUUUCCAGCUGUAAACCUCUAUGUCUUGUGUAUGCUCUACUGUUAGACAGCAGCAUCAAUCAGCACUGUCAGAAAUCCAGCAAUUUACUUUCCAGUUAGAUUUCAUACAAUAGAGCGGAAAGGCGACAUACUAUCUUACAUGACUUUCAACCUCAUCCUGAUUACAGGCCUCACUCCAAAACAAAAUUACUUGCAGCUUCUAUUGUCGGAGCCAGCUCUUUUGAACUGUUUGAAUUCAGACCUAAAAACUCUACAUGAGCUGGUUUACUUUAGCAAAGUUUAGUUUAGGGUUCAGCCUAAUUCCUGGCUUUGUGCAUAGGAGUGUCAGCAGGAUGUGUUUAUACAGAGCAGAGAGAAGACAACAAGAGAGAAUUAGAGGAAAAUAUACCUACUGGAUCAAUAAAAGAAACACAGCAUGGCUCAGAAACAGUAUACAGAGGAACAAGUUGUCAACCAUCCACCCAUCCAUCCAUUAUCUAUACACUGCUUAAUCCUCAUUAGGGUGGCAAGGGGCUGGAGCCUAUCCCAGCUGAAUUAGUUUGAAGGUCACCAGUCUAUCACAGAGACAAACAAUCACACUCACAUUCACACCUGCAGAUAAUUUAGAGUUACCAAUUAACCUUAGCAUGUUUUUGGACUGUGGGAGGAAGCUGGAGAACCUGGAGAAAACCCACAAAUGUACAGGGAGAAUAUGCAAACUCCCAGAUCAAGGCAAAAGUGCUAACCACCCAGCCACUCUGCAGCCCCAAGUUGUCGACCAGUUGUUGGAAAAAUACAUUCCACGUAGUGAAACAUCUCUCUAGAGCUGAUGUGCAAAGUAGUGUGAAAAGCUUGUAGAGGCUUUAAAAUGUAAAUAGUUAAACAUCUAUAGUAUGUAGAGCCUCCAUAUUUGUAGCGUUGGUAACACCUGUGGGCAAAAUGUUGGACAUGUGGAUUCCUGGAAUUUCAUUUGUUGUAAAAUAAAUAAUCAAAGAACUUCAA